GAAAAAGAUGAUUCAACAUGGAUGACAAAGUGAGGCUGGGUCUAUUUCCUGGAUAGCCACAACAUCCAGACUUCUCAGGUUGAACAGCAGUUGUCCCUGGCUUUCCAGGUGGUGAGAGAGAAAAGCUGCAGUGGACAGACAUUCAGCAAACAUGAAGGAAGCAGAAUCUACUCCACAUCUGAUAAGUGAGGCUCUGCUGCCUUCCACACAGCAGGCCCUGUCUACAUGGGGGGUACCUACAGGAACAGGCUUUCAAAAAAAAUCUAACACAUGAAAUGUGGUUAUGACUUCUCUCAAGUUCUGCUCACAUGCCUCAGACUUCACCACCAGCACUCUGAGGUCUAUAUGUUGCUUCCUUUGUCCAUCUGAGCCAUCCAGCAUCUUCAGGCCAGUUCCAGCAGAAGAAGAUGCUACAAGAAGCCCAGGGGAAGAAGGUGUUCCUGGGACUGUCCACACACCAUCACAUUCCGCACCCACUGGUUGCAGAGUCUUUAACAGGGAACCAAGAAAAGCCACCACUCUCAGUCAUGCCAGCUUCCAUCUGAGCUGCUCUAAGAAACGAGGCCCUUUGUGAUUCUGAGAAAAAAAAACAGGGCUCCCAGGUGGGUUUACUGAGCCCGAAGGAAGCAGCUUCCACUACAGAAUUUCCAGGGUGCUGGGGUUCAGGAACAAUGGAAGUAGUUAAAACCUGAAACCCUUGUGUCAUCAUCAGAAAUAGCCCAUACACAGAAGCGUCCUUUUACCUUAAAAGCAGAUGUUAUUAACUGAGUAAGAAACUUGAAAAUAACCCCAAUCUUCCUACCAAAAGAGAAGGAAGGAGGAGAGAAGGAAGAGAGGGAGGGAGGGAGGGAGGGAAUUUUGCUAGCUCAUGGAGAAGAUGGG